ensembl:snRNA U6 U6 spliceosomal RNA
GCGCUCGCUUCAGCAGCACAUAUACUAAAACUGGAACGAUACAGAGAAGAUUAGCAUGGCCCUUGCGCAAGGAUGACAUGCAAAUUAGUGAAGUGUUCCAUAUUUUU